rnacentral:piRNA from 1 species
UCUAAUCACACUGAACGGCGGAAGGUCCUU